CCACCCAACACGCGCUCUUGUCCCCUUUGUUUCGGAGCGAGGAGGAAGGAAAGACUUUGUUACUGGAAUGUGGGGACGGGGCAGUAUUUACGGUGAUGACUCAGGCUGGAGAAAGGCUUCGUUGGCGUUGAUGGUCAGGCUUCCUGAGAACAGAGUGGAAGCUGAUCACACCUGCACCUUCCUGGGACUCUCUUGAGCUACAGGUUACCAAGCAGCGUUUCUAUUAGCAACGGUUCAGACCACAGCAGCAAAUGAUUCAAGCCAUGUCACCUCUUGUCUUUGGAGGAGAAGCAGAGAAUACGAGCAAGAAAAUGCUUCUGAGGUAUCUGGCACGGUUGUCCAAGCAGGAAAUGCCGGCUUCCCCAACCCACUGACCCCUGUGGUCCUCAGGCCGCUAUCAGGAAGAUUCAGGAAGCACAUUCGUUCAGAAUUCAGGAUGUGUCAAGAACCUUGAAACCUUGACAUUUUUGCAAAAUGACUAUCAAAAUUUAGAAGGUAGUGGAGUCUGAACUCUGGAGACAAGUCGCUAAGAGGAGAGAAAAAAAAAACUCUCAUUUUUUUCUAGCCAAUUGGUUUUGAAAUAGAAAAACGUUGGAAAGUAUGUCUU